rnacentral:rRNA from 1 species
ACGGCUCAGUAACACGUGGCUAAUCUGCCCUUGGGACUAGAACAACCCCGGGAAACUGGGGCUAAAUCUAGAUAGGUGAAGAACUCUGGAAUGAGUCUUUGCCUAAAUAGGUUCACGUUAUCCUCGUGAACUUGCCCAAGGAUGAGGCCGCGACCGAUCAGGUUGUUGGCGAGGUAAUGGCUCACCAAGCCUUUUACCGGUGCGGGCCGUGGGAGCGGGAGCCCGGAGAUGGGUACUGAGACAAGGACCCAGGCCCUACGGGGCGCAGCAGUCGCGAAACCUUUGCAAUACACGAAAGUGUGACAGGGCUAUCCCGAGUGCCAUCCGCUGAGGAAGGCUUUUACCCAGUCUAGAAAGCUGGGGGAAUAAGGAGAGGGCAAGUCUGGUGUCAGCCGCCGCGGUAAUACCAGCUCUCCGAGUGGUGUGGAUGUUUAUUGGGCCUAAAGCAUCCGUAGCUGGCUAGGUAAGUCCCUUGUUAAAUCCACCGAAUUAAUCGUUGGAUCGCGGGGGAUACUGCUUGGCUAGGGGACGAGAGAGGCAAACGGUAUUUUCGGGGUAGGGGUGAAAUCCUAUAAUCCCGGGAAGACCACCAGUGGCGAAGGCUGUUUGCUAGAACGCGCCCGACGGUGAGGGAUGAAAGCUGGGGGAGCGAACCGGAUUAGAUACCCGGGUAGUCCCAGCUGUAAACGAUGCAGACUAGGUGUUUGGACGGCCACGUGCCGUUCUAGUGCCGCAGGGAAGCUGUUAAGUCUGCCGCCUGGGGAGUACGAUCGCAAGAUUGAAACUUAAAGGAAUUGGCGGGGGAGCAC